UGAAAUUUAUAGUGAGAGGAAAAUCCGUCGACUUUAAAAAUCGUGAGGGU
rnacentral:tRNA from 1 species